rnacentral:rRNA from 1 species
CCUACGGGCGGCAGCAGUGGGGAAUAUUGGGCAAUGGGCGCAAGCCUGACCCAGCAACGCCGCGUGAAGGAAGAAGGCUUUCGGGUUGUAAACUUCUUUUAUCAGGGACGAAGCAAGUGACGGUACCGGAUGAAUAAGCCACGGCUAACUACGUGCCAGCAGCCGCGGUAAUACGUAGGUGGCAAGCGUUAUCCGGAUUUACGGGGUGUAAAGGGCGUGUAGGCGGGAGUGCCAGUCAGAUGUGAAAACCAUGGGCUCCACCCAUAGCCUGCCUUGGAAACUGUACUUCUUGAGUGCUGGAGAGGCCAUCGGCAUUCCGUUUGUUGCGGUGAAAUGCGUUGAUAUUCGGCGGCCCACCAGUGGCGAAGGCGGAUUGCUGGACCGUACCUGACGCUGAGGCGCGAACGCGUGGGGCGCAAACCGGAUUAGCUACCCGAGUAGUC